rnacentral:lncRNA from 1 species
GCACUCAGUGCCCGACCUGCAAGUGGGGACGGAAUUCUCGUCCAGGACAGUCAGGCUAAGAAAUUCAAAUGCUUUGGACAGACUCACCGACUGCCCGGCUGAGAGAAUCUGUGAGGUCUACCUGCCUAGCAAUUUGCCUUUGCACGGUCCUCCUGUGAGGAGUGAGGACACACAGGUGGCAUGUACAGACUGCACCCUGCAGAGGAGCUGGGAGGCAAAGCUUAUUUCUUGGAAGUUUUCAGUCACUUGCAAGGAGCAGCUAUGGACACAGUGAAGCGCAGAGGUCCAAAGAGAAAUUCUGUCAUUCAAGAAGGAAUGAAAUAAAGGCUUAUUAAGCAACUAUCUGUUUAUCUAUAUAUACCGACACUGUCAGUUGUAUACAAUGCUCUUAAGUAAUUGCAAAUCAUAAUUGUAAAACUUUUUCUUUUUUCUGUUUGGCUUCAGAUAUUUUCUUUUCCAUGG